rnacentral:rRNA from 1 species
UACGUAGGGUGCGAGCGUUGUCCGGAAUUACUGGGCGUAAAGAGCUCGUAGGUGGUUUGUCGCGUUGUUCGUGAAAACUCACAGCUCAACUGUGGGCGUGCGGGCGAUACGGGCAGACUGGAGUACUGCAGGGGAGACUGGAAUUCCUGGUGUAGCGGUGGAAUGCGCAGAUAUCAGGAGGAACACCGGUGGCGAAGGCGGGUCUCUGGACCGAGACUGACGCUGAGGCGCGAAAGCGUGGGGAGCAAACAGG